rnacentral:rRNA from 1 species
GACGAACGCUGGCGGCGUGCUUAACACAUGCAAGUCGAACGGAAAGGCCCUGCUUUUGUGGGGUGCUCGAGUGGCGAACGGGUGAGUAACACGUGAGUAACCUGCCCUUGACUUUGGGAUAACUUCAGGAAACUGGGGCUAAUACCGGAUAGGAGCUCCUGCUGCAUGGUGGGGGUUGGAAAGUUUCGGCGGUUGGGGAUGGACUCGCGGCUUAUCAGCUUGUUGGUGGGGUAGUGGCUUACCAAGGCAUUGACGGGUAGCCGGCCUGAGAGGGUGACCGGCCACAUUGGCACUGAGACACGGCCCAGACUCCUACGCGAGGCAUCAGUGGGGAAUCUUGCACGAUGGGCGGAAGCCUGAUGCAGCAACGCCGCGUGCUGGAUGACGGCCUUCGGGUUGUAAACCGCUUUCGCCUGUGACGAAGCGUGAGUGACGGUAAUGGGUAAAGAAGCACCGGCUAACUACGUG